UAGGGAAUAUUGGUAAUGUGCGAAAGCGCGAACCAGCAACGCCGCGUGCGCGAUGAAGGCCUUCGGGUUGUAAAGCGCUUUUUAUGGGGAUGAGGAAGGACAGUACUCAUAGAAUAAGCCUCGGCUAACUACGUGCCAGCAGCCGCGGUAAAACGUAGGAGGCGAGCGUUAUCCGGAUUUACUGGGCGUAAAGCGUGUGUAGGCGGUUUGAUAAGUUGGAUGUGAAAGCUCCUGGCUUAACUGGGAGAGGUCGUUCAAAACUAUCAGACUUGAGAGUGGUAGAGGGAGGUGGAAUGCCGGGUGUAGUGGUGAAAUGCGUAGAUAUCCGGAGGAACACCAGUGGCUAAAGCGGACUCCUGGCCCAUUUCUGACGCUCAGACACGAAAGCUAAGGUAGCAAACGG
rnacentral:rRNA from 1 species